CGCCCGGGGGAGGGGGCGGGCGCCGAACCCACGCAUCCCUAGUCUGGCCGUGGUCCCCUGCAGUCUCGGGGCCGACCCCCCUCCCAGGGGCCGGCACCAACAUGCCCUUUGACUUAAGGAGAUUUGACAUCUACCGGAAGGUGCCCAAAGACCUCACGCAACCAACGUACACUGGGGCAAUCAUCUCUGUCUGCUGCUGCCUCUUUAUUCUGUUCCUUUUUCUCUCGGAGCUCACUGGAUUCAUA